rnacentral:rRNA from 1 species
AAAUAGCUCUUGCAUUGCUGAAAAGUUCGAGCGGGACCUCGCCCUUAGUGCCGGUCUUUGCCACGUUUUCUGAACGGUCGAGCAAGUCAUCAUGGGGCUUAUAGAGUGGGCUACAGGCGUAUUACAUUGGACACCCACAAGUUGGAUACCAAAACUGUCCGAAUAUACGGAUUGGAGUAGCAAAACGAGAGAACUAUACAGUUCGUUUGCAUCGUUAUGCCUUGCUGAAACUAGCCUCCAUGAAGAAGGAAUCGCGAGUAAUCGUAGAUCAUUAGCGCUACGGUGAAGGUAACCUCUAUUGUGCACACAUUGCCCGUCACCUCCGAUAAUAGUAUUGUACAGGAAGAACUAUGGCUACACUUAAGUCGCGGCCUAGGAACGUAUGCGUGAUAUUAGAGUUGGAGUAAGUCGUAACAGGUUGGGGUAGGGGAACCUGCUCCAGAGUCAAAUUUAUAUAA